CUAGUUGUGUUUACUGCUUG
rnacentral:siRNA from 1 species